rnacentral:rRNA from 1 species
UACAGAGGCCUCGAGCGUUAGGCGGAAUCACUGGGCUUAAAGCGUGUGUAGGCGGACUUCUAAGUGCCUUGUGAAAUCUCACGGCUCACCCGUGGAACUGCUGGGCAUACUGGGAGUCUUGAGCCACCUAGGGGCGAGCGGAACAAAUGGUGGAGCGGUGAAAUGCGUAGAUAUCAUUUGGAACGCCAACGGAGAAAUCAGCUCGCUGGGGGUGUGCUGACGCUGAGACACGAAAGCCAGGGGAGCGAACGGG